GUGGGGAAUCUUGCGCAAUGGGCGAAAGCCUGACGCAGCCAUGCCGCGUGAAUGAUGAAGGUCUUAGGAUUGUAAAAUUCUUUCACCGGGGACGAUAAUGACGGUACCCGGAGAAGAAGCUCCGGCUAACUUCGUGCCAGCAGCCGCGGUAAUACGAAGGGGGCUAGCGUUGCUCGGAAUUACUGGGCGUAAAGGGCGCGUAGGCGGACAGCUUAGUCAGAGGUGAAAGCCCAGGGCUCAACCUUGGAAUUGCCUUUGAUACUGGCUGUCUUGAGUUUGGGAGAGGUGAGUGGAACUCCGAGUGUAGAGGUGAAAUUCGUAGAUAUUCGGAAGAACACCAGUGGCGAAGGCGACUCACUGGCCCAAUACUGACGCUGAGGCGCGAAAGCGUGGGGAGCAAACAGGAUUAGAUACCCCGGUAUCC
rnacentral:rRNA from 1 species